rnacentral:misc_RNA from 1 species
GCUUCUCUAUUCAAAGCUUUUUGGAGCAACUCCUCAAAUUCUACCUUCUCCUUUUUUAACAUUGCUUCAAGUUCUCCAAUUUGGCGCCUUGAUUCAGGUAGUUUUGUGCCACUAUUUGGUGGUGCCGCACUAGAUCUUUUCUCUGCAAUUUGACUCAAAGCAUUGAGUACUUCAGAAAAUAGAAGCUCUGCCCGGUCAACAACCUCAACUGUUUCUUUCUGUAUCCACUCCUGGUUCUCAAAGUUGAAAUCAAGUUUUGGGGGUGGAAUGUACACAGAGAGAACAUCAAUCGAUGCAUACCGAAAGCAAGCAACCAUAUUCCCAAAUCCAUAGAAUCGAAGACAAUCCCUGUGCAGAGAAUGGCCACAGCUUGCCACCCUGCUUGCAGCUGCAUGGUUUGAAAAACUAAGCUCCAAAAAUUUCCCAAAAGAUAAACCCCAAGCAGCAUCAGACAUCACUACUCUC